GGAGAGAGAGAGAGACGCAACGAAGGCGAGAACACCUUGUGCUUCUCCUCGAUGAACUUCUGAAUCGCGUAUUGGUUAGCUCCAGUUCUCUCCUUCAACAAUACAAUCGCAUCCUUGAUCAUCUUCUUUGGCUUCACUUUUUAGCUUUCUUCGUCGUCUUGCCUCCCUUCGCAGCAGGCUCCGUCGUAACUGUCGUGUUGAUUCCGUCCACGGGAGGAGGGAUAUUCUCUUGAUCGACCGCUGGACUCGUCAUCUGAAACCGUAAACGUAAGCUUUUAAGAGAAUAUGAGAAGUUAUUAUGAGAAUGGGUGAUGUGAUCGUAUCAUCGGAAACGUCCGAUUUAUAUAUUGACUCAAUGAUUCAAAGGACAAUUUGUCUUUUCCGCUUGUUUCUUGUGAUUGGAAUGCGGAUGAAGAGAUACUCCUUCUUGAGGCAAUUGUGACAUAUGGGUUUGGGAAUUGGAAAGAAGUUGUGAACUAUGUUGGCAGUAAGACGCAGGCUGAGUGUAUUGAUUACUUCAACUCUGCUUGCAUGCAGUCACCUUGCUUUCCCCUUCCGGACUUGUCUCGUACAAAUGGAAAGAGCAAAGAUGAGCGUCUUGCUAAGAGUAAAGAGCACGUUGUGAAAAUAGAAACAACUGCACUUUUGAUGAACCUAUCUCCAAAAGAAGAGCUGCCAAUGUCAGCUGAAAUCAAGUAUGUAACAACCAGUGUCCCGUGUGCUAUAUUCCCCUGCCUCGACUUGAUGCUCUCGCUGCAAAUCGGUUCUUUAUUGCAGAUAGUUAUUUGUCGAAAUGCGUGACUAUGGAGCUUUUGACCCAGUGAUGGUAGGAACAUUGAAAUUUACGAUAAGUGUGACGAUACACAUACGUACGUAUGUAGAGAGAGAGAGAGACUGACCUCCGUUGAGCCAGAGGACUUAGAGGACGGCGAGAGGGGUUUUGUUGAGCUUCGAAGAACCAAUAGAAAAGUGACUUCUGCUUCUGCUGAGGCCCGAGAUUAACGUAACCGGCGUAAUGUCUGAAGUUAGCCGGUGGUUGACCCGGUAAACUGGUAACCAGGUCAUCCUCCUUCUUACCACAGGCUAACGCCGGCAACACCAGAAAGCACAGCAGCCAGAGUGCGUUCUUCUCCAUUGUCACACGCUAGCUCUUGCCUCUCUGUUUACAGAUCUUCUAUAUACAGUAAAGAAUAAAUCGAGGCCCGACGCCUUUUUAUAAUGUGGUUAUCAUAUAACCUUAGUCUCACACGAUCAUCUUUUCUUCUUUUGACACAUCACGAGCGUCGCGGUUGCAGUAACUAGCAAAUGUAAUUGAUUGAGUGGUGCUGUUGUUAUUUGAACUUUCUGAAUAGAUCUUUCAACGAUCGGCGUUUCCAGACAUUAAUUUAUUACUUCUCAUUUAAAAUUCUUUUAUAGGUUUCGAAACA